CUGCCAGUAGUCAUAUGCUUGUCUCAAAGAUUAAGCCAUGCAUGUGCAAGUAUGAACGAUUUCAGACUGUGAAACUGCGAAUGGCUCAUUAAAUCAGUUAUAGUUUGUUUGAUGGUACCUGCUACUCGGAUAACCGUA
rnacentral:rRNA from 1 species